CACAGGUCGGGGGGCCAAGCCAGACUGCACCCACCCCUGAAACCCAGGAUCACCUCGGGGAGCGUACCAGAAGAACCAGACGGACGAGAGUAUAAAAAAAUGAACAAGGUUUUAUUUGGUUAAAAGCAAUUUAAAAGUUCAGUGUUCCUUCCGUGUCUCCCGACCAGAACGGAGCCAGACCUCGGACGCCGGGAAGGCGUGGAGUCGUCAGCAGUUCGUGCCUGUACGGGGCCAGCAAGAGCCAGGAUAGUCUGUCACCCGUCCCGGAGUGAGGGGGGGGUAUCCGGGGACAUCACAUGCAGCAUUCGGCCCAGAGAAUCCUGCGAUCUGCACAGCGGGGGACAUCACAUGCGGCGUUCGGCCCAGAGGAUCCUGCGAUCUGCACAGCGGGGGACAUCACAUGCAGCAUUCGGCCCAGAGGAUCCUGCGAUCUGCACAGCAGAGUAGGUAAUCAACAGCAAGUAUGUGUUCUUAAAUAAGUAGUGGGGCUUACGGCUGGGAGAGGCUUCGGUUGUGACCGGGAAAGGAAUAAUUCUUGUGUCCACCUCUUUUCAUAGGGACAUCACAUGCGGCGUUCGGCCCAGAGGAUCCUGCGAUCUGCACAGCAGAGUAAGUAAUCAACAGCAAGUAUGUGUU